UGGGGAAUAUUGGACAAUGGGCGCAAGCCUGAUCCAGCCAUGCCGCGUGAGUGAUGAAGGCCCUAGGGUUGUAAAGCUCUUUCGCCAGGGACGAUAAUGACGGUACUUGGAUAAGAAGCCCCGGCUAACUUCGUGCCAGCAGCCGCGGUAAUACGAAGGGGGCUAGCGUUGUUCGGAAUCACUGGGCGUAAAGCGCACGUAGGCGGAUCUUUAAGUCAGGGGUGAAAUCCCGAGGCUCAACCUCGGAACUGCCUUUGAUACUGGAGGUCUCGAGUCCGGGAGAGGUGAGUGGAACUGCGAGUGUAGAGGUGAAAUUCGUAGAUAUUCGCAAGAACACCAGUGGCGAAGGCGGCUCACUGGCCCGGUACUGACGCUGAGGUGCGAAAGCGUGGGGAGCAAACAGGAUUAGAUCACCCUGGUAGUCCACGCCGUAAACUAUGGAUGCUAGCCGUUGGGCAGCUUGCUGUUCAGUGGCGCAGCUAACGCUUUAAGCAUCCCGCCUGGGGAGUACGGUCGCAAGAUUAAAACUCAAAUGAAUUGACGGGGUCAUAGCUGUUUCCU
rnacentral:rRNA from 1 species